rnacentral:rRNA from 1 species
CAAGGCUUGACAUGACCAGGACAGCGGCGGAAACGUCGUCUUCCCGCAAGGGACCUGGCCACAGGUGUUGCAUGGCUGUCGUCAGCUCGUGUCGUGAGAUGUUGGGUUAAGUCCCGCAACGAGCGCAACCCUCGUUCUAUGUUGCCAGCGCGUUAUGGCGGGGACUCAUAGGAGACUGCCGGGGUCAACUCGGAGGAAGGUGGGGACGACGUCAAAUCAUCAUGCCCCUUAUGUCUUGGGCUUCACGCAUGCUACAAUGGCCGGUACAAAGGGUUGCGAUACUGUGAGGUCGAGCUAAUCUCCAAAAGCCAUCUCAGUUCGGAUUGCACUCUGCAACUCGAGUGCAUGAAGUUGGAAUCGCUAGUAAUCGCGGAUCAGCAUGCCGCGGUGAAUA